rnacentral:rRNA from 1 species
AACGAACGCUGGCGGCAUGCCUAACACAUGCAAGUCGAACGAAGCCUUCGGGCUUAGUGGCGCACGGGUGCGUAACGCGUCGGAAUCUUCCCCUAUCUUCGGGAUAACAGUUAUAAAUGACUGCUAAUACCGGAUGAAUUCUUCGGACAAAACAUUCAUCGUCAAGGUAUGAGCCCGCGUAGGAUUAGGUAGUCGGUGUGGUAAAGGCCUACCAAGCCGACGAUCCUUAGCUGGUCUGAGAGGAUGGUCAGCCACACUGGGACUGAGACGCGGCCCAGACUCCUACGGGAGGCAGCAGUGGGGAAUAUUGGACAAUGGAGGCGAGUCUGAACCAGCAAGGCCGCGUGAGUGAUGAAGUCCUGAGAGUUGUAAAGCUCUUUUACAAGGGAUGAUAAUGACAGUACCUGGAGAAUAAGCUCCGGCUAACUCCGUG